rnacentral:rRNA from 1 species
GACGAACGCUGGCGGCGUGCUUAAUACAUGCAAGUCAACGACUUUUGUAGAUAGACAAUAUUUUUAAGGGGAGUGGGCGCACGGUGAGUAACACGUAGGCAAUCUACCUUUAGGACUGACACAACUCGUCGAAAGACGGGCUAAUAUCAGAUAAUGCAGCGGCUCCGCAUGGAGACAGUUGUUAAAGUACAAGCGCCUGAAGAUGAGCCUGCGGUCCAUUAGCUAGUUGGUAGAGUAACGGCCUACCAAGGCAACGAUGGAUAGCUGGUCUGAGAGGAUGAUCAGCCACACUGGAACUGAGACACGGUCCAGACUCCUACGGAGGCAGCAGUAAGGAAUAUUGCUCAAUGGCCGAAAGGCUGAAGCAGCAACGCCGCGU